AUGAAGUUCAAUGGACAAAUUUCAGGGAAUGGAGAGAGUUCUUUGGGUGAAUGGCUUCCUAGCAAAGUCCCAUCCACUUCUUUAUCUUCAGCUAGAUCCAAGGGGUUUUGGGUUCACUGCUCAGAAAGGUCUCCUGUCUCAGAGGUAUCUCUCAGACUAACCAUUCCAGGAGCACUCCCAAAGAGAAAUGAGGGAAAGAGCUUGUCACUUUGGAUUAACAAUUGCACAAGUCUCCAUGCUGAGCCAAGCACUGAAGAAAUAUUAAAUGGCUCAAGGACUCCUGAAGGUACAGGCAUUACCCAGGCAUUUGGGAAAAUGGAAAGUGGAAGUAAAAUUGAUUUAGUUAAAUUUUAUUUUCUGCUUUUCUAAAAAAAAAUGAUGGUUGAGGAAUGAAGGAAGGGAAAAAAUGGAGGUAUUAGAUUAACACCAAGUAUGUAAUAUAAGAAUUAGAUUAAUAAAAUCCUGACUUGUUCAAAAAAAAGAAAACA
rnacentral:lncRNA from 1 species